UACAGAGGUCCCAAGCGUUGUUCGGAUUCACUGGGCGUAAAGGGUGCGCAGGUGGUCGGGUAAGUCUGAUGUGAAAUCCCGCAGCUCAACUGCGGAAUGGCAUUGGAUACUAUUUGGCUAGAGGGUUGGAGGGGGGACUGGAAUUCUCGGUGUAGCAGUGAAAUGCGUAGAUAUCGAGAGGAACACCAGUGGCGAAAGCGAGUCCCUGGACAACUCCUGACGCUGAGGCACGAAAGCUAGGGGAGCAAACAGG
rnacentral:rRNA from 2 species